rnacentral:rRNA from 1 species
UCCGUAGGGUCCGAGCGUUGUCCGGAAUUACUGGGCGUAAAGGGCGCGUAGGCGGCCUUCUAAGUCGAACGUGAAAUCCCCGGGCUCAACCCGGGAACUGCGUCCGAUACUGGAAGGCUUGAAUCCGGGAGAGGGAUGCGGAAUUCCAGGUGUAGCGGUGAAAUGCGUAGAUAUCUGGAGGAACACCGGUGGCGAAGGCGGCAUCCUGGACCGGUAUUGACGCUGAGGCGCGAAAGCCAGGGGAGCAAACGGG